rnacentral:rRNA from 1 species
GACGAUCUGUAGCUGGUCUGAGAGGACGACCAGCCACACUGGGACUGAGACACGGCCCCAGACUCCUACGGGAGGCAGCAGUGGGGAAUUUUGGACAAUGGGCGAAAGCCUGAUCCAGCAAUGCCGCGUGUGUGAAGAAGGCCUUCGGGUUGUAAAGCACUUUUGUCCGGAAAGAAAACCUCCGCCCUAAUAUGGUGGGGGGAUGACGGUACCGGAAGAAUAAGCACCGGCUAACUACGUGCCAGCAGCCGCGGUAAUACGUAGGGUGCAAGCGUUAAUCGGAAUUACUGGGCGUAAAGCGUGCGCAGGCGGUCCGCUAAGACAGAUGUGAAAUCCCCGGGCUUAACCUGGGAACUGCAUUUGUGACUGGCGGGCUAGAGUAUGGCAGAGGGGGGUAGAAUUCCACGUGUAGCAGUGAAAUGCGUAGAGAUGUGGAGGAAUACCGAUGGCGAAGGCAGCCCCCUGGGCCAAUACUGACGCUCAUGCACGAAAGCGUGGGGAGCAAACAGGAUUAGAUACCCUGGUAGUCCACGCCCUAAACGAUGUCAACUAGUUGUUGGGGAUUCAUUUCCUUAGUAACGUAGCUAACGCGUGAAGUUGACCGCCUGGGGAGUACGGUCGCAAGAUUAAAACUCAAAGGAAUUGACGGGGACCCGCACAAGCGGUGGAUGAUGUGGAUUAAUUCGAUGCAACGCGAAAAACCUUACCUACCCUUGACAUGUAUGG